GGGGAUGUAGCUCAGUGGUAGAGCACUUGCCUAGCAUGCACAAAGCCCUGGGUUGAUUCACCAAUACAAAAAAAAAUAAAUAAAUAAAGUAAAUGCAAGAAUCUACUUUGUUGUGUCUUCUAGUACAUUCAUGACCA
rnacentral:tRNA from 1 species